rnacentral:rRNA from 1 species
UACGUAGGGUCCGAGCGUUUGUCCGGAAUUACUGGGCGUAAAGAGCUCGUAGGUGGUUUGUCGCGUUGUUCGUGAAAACUCACAGCUCAACUGUGGGCGUGCGGGCGAUACGGGCAGACUUGAGUACUGCAGGGGAGACUGGAAUUCCUGGUGUAGCGGUGGAAUGCGCAGAUAUCAGGAGGAACACCGGUGGCGAAGGCGGGUCUCUGGGCAGAUACUGACGCUGAGGAGCGAAAGCGUGGGGAGCGAACAGG